rnacentral:sRNA from 1 species
GCUGGGUACAGUGGCACGUGUCUAUAGUCCUAGCUACUCUAGCUACUCAGGAGGAUCACUUGAGCCCAGGAGUUUGAGGCCAGCCUGAGCAACAUAGGGAGAUCCUGAUU